rnacentral:rRNA from 1 species
CAAAACUCCUACGGGAGGCAGCAGUGAGGAAUAUUGGUCAAUGGGCGAGAGCCUGAACCAGCCAAGUAGCGUGAAGGAUGACUGCCCUAUGGGUUGUAAACUUCUUUUAUAAAGGAAUAAAGUCGGGUAUGGAUACCCGUUUGCAUGUACUUUAUGAAUAAGGAUCGGCUAACUCCGUGC